GCGGGUGUCGUAUAGUGGCUAUUAUACUGCCUUGCCAAGGCAGAAACGAGGGUUCGAUUCCCUUCACCCGCUCAA
rnacentral:tRNA from 4 species